AGCAGUAGCCGCGGUAAUACGUAGGUGGCAAGCGUUGUCCGGAAUUAUUGGGCGUAAAGGGCUCGCAGGCGGUUUCUUAAGUCUGAUGUGAAAGCCCCCGGCUCAACCGGGGAGGGUCAUUGGAAACUGGGAAACUUGAGUGCAGAAGAGGAGAGUGGAAUUCCACGUGUAGCGGUGAAAUGCGUAGAGAUGUGGAGGAACACCAGUGGCGAAGGCGACUCUCUGGUCUGUAACUGACGCCGAGGAGCGAAAGCGUGGGGAGCGAACAGGAUUAGAUACCCCAGUAGUCCCUGUCUCUUAUAC
rnacentral:rRNA from 1 species